UAUGCUCAAACCGUCAUGUGAUGUUGGCUUCGUGUUAGGCGGGUGUUCUUCUCAGUUUCUCUUCAAUAUUUCAAUAAUUGCCUGCUCGUUUUGAUAACAUACUGAGGCUGUUUACUGGGAAAUUCACGAUUAUCCUCUAUGGUCAAGUGUCAAGAGGUGAAAAAAGAUUUGGACAAAAACUUCGAUAACGUCAGCGCUGCUGCGUUGGUCACUGCCUGAACACGACGCGUCUGCCUGCCGAAGAACGAGUGAAAAAGAGGAUAUUACUACACGACGUGCGGCAAUAGCAAAGUCCACGCCACGACUUUGGAAUAUUAUUAGAUCAUUUUUUAAAAAGGAAACGUCAAUCAAACGACUUCGUCAUAAUAAUCUUCAGCUUUGUGUGCUCUCCGUGAUGACAGUGGUAAUAUAUACAUCGUUUUGUCGCUGGGGACACGGACCACGAGACGGCUGAAGAGGGCGACGGAGGACCGAAAAAAACGAGAGGGAAAAAGGAGGUACGCCAAAGAAGACUAUCGAAAACGCGGAGAAGAGAAAAAAAAAGUGAAACGGGUAAGACGGAAGAGGAUAAGAAGGAGGAAAAGGUGGAGCUUACUUGGAAACAAGAGGCAAGAGAGAGAUACGGAUAGAGAGAAGAGGAGACACAGAAGGGAGAAGCAAAGAGAGUGAGAGAAAGAGAGAAAGAAAGAGAGAGAGAGAGGGGAGAUUUUACGGAAGACGUCGCCCGUCCAUCUGAGCACAGUGUAACAUGAAAACGUGCAGGCUGCGGUCGGGAAAGCUAGGAACUCCUGAACUCUGCUUUACGUCCAUUGUUCGGGCUCCGGGGACCGAGGGCGACAGCCCUGUGCCGAGCAGGAAACGGAAGCAGAUGGAAUAUUUGGACUCGCUAUAUUUGGACUAGAGACACCAAUUCCAAGUGUAAAAUCCGACGUGUCUUCCAGAUUCAGGUAAACUUUGA
rnacentral:lncRNA from 1 species